rnacentral:lncRNA from 1 species
CAUCUGUCUCUCUCCUCACCUUCUCGGAAAAUAUGAGGCUCUGAAUCCAGAAGUCUGGCUCUGGGACGCUUCCAGAGACCAGCUGGCCUCGCCUCCUGCUGGAUGCUAGAUGUGGAAACUGAGUCCCAGAGACAGUUAGCAAGCAACCCAAGUGUUGUCCGGCUCCCUGUCUGAGCUUGGUCCCUGCCUCCUCCAGGCUGGCAUCCGCCUCUGGCUCUUGGGCUUUAUGAGGCACUUUCUGUCCCUCAGGGUCCCCAGCAGACCAUCUGCAGUGAUGCAGGCCCGGUCCGGAAGACGUGGCCUCAUCCACUGUCUUCACUAGGAAGAAGAUUCAUGAGGCAGAGCAAGACAGAUGACACGCCUUUUGGGGAUACGGACAAGUCUCUGCACAUCUCUUUCUACUGCCACGUCACCUGGGGUCAUCCGUCCAUCUCAGUGUGCCACACUGCCCAGAUGAGGUCAGGCCCCUGUUAAUUGCCACCCCUGGAGUGACUUUGUGCCAUGACUUUGUGGGGCCAGGCUCCCUUUGUGGUUGUCAGUCCCAUGAGAGUUGGACUGUGGUUGACAGUUCAUGGCUGGGCCCCUCUACCUGGCACAGAGCAGACCCUCAAAGAGUGUUUGCCAAAGGAAAAGAUGAACCGAGGGAAGUGCGGUCACACUGGAGGGCCUUUGGAGACAGGAGAUAUGGGGGUCCCUGCUUUAGGUCCCUGGUGGUCCAGCAUGGCCUGACCCAGGGAGAGAAGCAUCCCCCAGCCCACUUCUGUCCAGAACACAGAGGGCCUCAUGAUGCAAAGAGGACUGAAGGGUUGACCUGGGAAGGGAUCAGACCUGGGACCCCUACUCCUUUCUCAUGAGGGUACACAUGAGGCCUGGGCAUGAGCACAUAGGAGAGGUCCCUCCCUUACCCUCCCUGGGCCCCCCACAUCUUCCUGGGGUGGGGCGGAAGCUGCAAUGAAGCGGGUGGAGAUGGUGCAACCCAUGAUCUGGGGGUGGACACUCUGUGACCUCCUUUAUCCCACACUGGCCAGGUUGGAAGACGUUUAUAUUUAUAUUGAUUUGUGUCACCCACGAUGACUUCACUUUCUGAAACAAAACUCAGAAAUACAUGCAGA